rnacentral:lncRNA from 1 species
ACAAACAUGCACAACAUGGGUGAUUAUUCCCUCCAACAGAUCGCACAAACUGAUUGUAUAGCAAUGGUAGUGACUACUUCCCUUUUCUCCCGGUGCAGGUGAUGCAUCUAAGAGAUUCCUUUUGCUCUCAACUCACAAUCUGCUGCACGAAGGAUUCACACAAAAUCAGUAACCACACCAAUGCUUAACAAUUAUAAGACACACAGACAGUUUGAAACAAAUCUACAAUUAAUCUAAAACUCCCUUUAGUUCAGAGGACUGCUCCUAGCCUGCUCCAACUAAUCAGCAGAUCCACUUUUCACUUGUAACAUCCUACACUACAUUCUUGUAAAUUGAUGCACUAGCUAUAUGAUAUCAAUUAAAUCAGACCUGCACAACUACACCAAAAACAGCAGAUACUUCAAAUGAAUCAGUUCACGCAUAGCUAGCUAAGUGGCAUGCAAAGGUAUGUAGUCAAUCACUCUGGAUAAAACUGAAAUCGGAAACUGCUUUCCCAAUAAAAUUGAAAUGAUAUUUUUAACCAGGGAAGAAAAUGUUUCAAUUCAAGGCCUUAGUACAAAACAAUUCCAAUUCAGAAUCAUCAUUUGCAAGUGAAAAAGAAAGGAAAUUCACAAUCAGAAUUAUGCAGCAGUUUAAAAGAACAGAAGGCAGUAAUCAGAGAAUUGUGAUCCCAGCUUAAGCAAACCCAUUCAGAAAUCAGAGUGGUUAAUUCUAGUUUACAUAAACUGCCAUAUCAGAAUCAACACUUCAAAUAAUGCUAAGCAAGGACAUGCUAUAUACAGAAAUAGUUUGGACAAAACAGAGGCAAUUUAAGAUGAAAUACUCUCUUUUUGUUCAACACUCCCAAAGUCUAUUCUCAUGAGAUCCCUUGCUCAACUUCUACACUNCUGCAGCUAGUUGUAACUCACUUUCUACUAAGCACCACCUGUGAAUGACAAUCA